rnacentral:rRNA from 1 species
AAUAAAUGUUAAAUUUUAUAUUAAAUGAUUAAUAGUUAAGAUCUUUAAAGUUAAAGAAUUUGGCGGUAUUUUAGUCUAUUCAGAGGAAUCUGUUCUAUAAUUGAUAGUCCACGAGUUAAAUUACUUAUAAUAAUUAGUUUGUAUAUCGUCGUAAAAGAAUAUUUUUUUAGAAUAUAAAUAUUCAUAAUUUUAGUAAGAAAGAAAAUCAGAUCAAGGUGUAGCUUAUUUAUAAGAAGAAAUGGAUUACAUUAAAUUUAUAUUUUUGGAUUAAUUUAUUAAAUUAAUUUAUGAAAAUGGAUUUGAGGGUAAUUUUAAUUAAAUUAUUAAAAUGAUUUUAGCCCUAAAAUAUGU